rnacentral:rRNA from 1 species
UACGUAGGGUGCGAGCGUUGUCCGGAAUUAUUGGGCGUAAAGAGCUCGUAGGUGGUUCGUCGCGUCGGCUGUGAAAACCUGAGGCUCAACCUCAGGCCUGCAGUCGAUACGGGCGGACUUGAGUACUGCAGGGGAGACUGGAAUUCCUGGUGUAGCGGUGAAAUGCGCAGAUAUCAGGAGGAACACCGGUGGCGAAGGCGGGUCUCUGGGCAGUAACUGACGCUGAGGAGCGAAAGCGUGGGGAGCGAACAGG